rnacentral:rRNA from 1 species
AGUCGUGGGAGAAAGCCGUAGCAAUACGGCUAGUAAACCGGCGCACGGGUGAGUAUCACGUGGACAAUUUGCCCUUGAGCCCGGGAUAACCCGUCGAAAGACGUGCUAAUACCGGAUAAGACCACGGGAAGUUCGCUUUCUGAGGUAAAAGAUGGCCUCUGCUCCUGCAAGCUAUCACUCAUCGAGAAGUUCGCGGCCUAUCAGCUAGUUGGUGGGGUAACGGCCCACCAAGGCUAAGACGGGUAGCUGGUCUGAGAGGAUGGUCAGCCACACUGGGACUGAGACACGGCCCAGAGUCCUACGGGAUGCAGCAGUCAGGAAUAUUGCGCAAUGGAGGAAACUCUGACGCAGCGACGCCGCGUGGGUGAUGAAGGCCUUCGGGUCGUAAAGCCCUGUCGGAGGGGAAGAAAAGCGGUCUGGCUAAUAUCCAGGCCGCUCUUGACGGUACCCUUAAAGGAAGCACCGGCUAACUCCGUGCCAGCAGCCGCGGUAAGACGGAGGGUGCAAGCGUUGUUCGGAUUGACUGGGCGUAAAGGGCGUGUAGGCGGUCGCUUAAGUCUGAUGUGAAAGCCCGGGGCUCAGCUCCGGAAGUGCAUUGGAAACUGAACGACUCGAGCGCGAUAGAGGAGG